CAUUUCAUUGAAAAGGUUGAAUGCAUUGUCGAGGCUCCCGUGUUUGCAAAGACCAUCAAUGAUGAUACUGUAUUUGACUGCAUCGAGCUUGAUAUUUCUUUCUUCCAUCUUUCUGAGCAACUCCAUGGCAAGGGCAGUUUGGCCGGACUUACACAUUACAUUUAAAACCGGUCCGUAGGUAACUGCAUUGGGUUGACAGCCAUAUUCCACCAU
rnacentral:sRNA from 1 species